rnacentral:sRNA from 1 species
CGGAUUGAUGUUUAACCGGCCGGAGCGAUCCUGCAGACUAUGUUUUCGCAGAUCGUGUUCUCCUGGCGUAUCCUGAUGCAGCAGAUGUUCCCUCCCUCAUCUGCAUGCGAUGCGCCCUCCUGGCCCUGCUCGCCGAUCGCGGCAAGCGGGGCUUUUU